rnacentral:rRNA from 1 species
GAUAUAUGGCCAGGUGCUGCAGUUGAAGCUCGUAGUGAUCCGGUUCUGAGAUGGGCCCUGUGGUUCCCCAAGUGGUGUGGCAUCUCCUGCCUUCGAGAGAAGUCGCUCUCUCGUACUUUGAGACCUUCGAGUGUUUCAGCAGCUCUGCUGAGAGCCUAGCAUGGAAUAACAAUUCUCGGACGAGGUCCGCUCUGGGUUGACGUGGGCUCACGUAAGGCUGAGAGGGAUAGUUUGGGGAUGCUAGGAUUCAGCGGGGAGAGGUGAAAUUCUCGGAUCCGCUGAAGACUGACUACUGCGAAAGCAUUCAUCCAGGAUGUCCUCUUUAAUCAAGAACGAAAGUUGGGGGAUCGAAGACGAUCAGAUACCGUCGUAGUCUCAACCCUAAACCAUGCCGACUAGGGAUGUGUCGGCGUCCGCAAGGGAGCCGACGCGAACCUUCUGAGAAAUCAAAGUCCACGGGUUCCGGGGGGAGUAUGGUCGCAAGGCUGAAACUUAAAGGAAUUGACGGAAGGGCACCACCAGGAGUGGAGCCUGCGGCUUAAUUUGACUCAACACGGGGAAACUUACCAGGUCCAGACUCUAUGAGGAUUGACAGAUGGAAGCUCUUUCUUGAUCUGGAGGGUGGUGGUGCAUGGCCGUUCUUAGUUGGUGGAGUGAUUUGUCUGGUUAAUUCCGUUAACGAACGAGACCUCGUGGAGGUGGUUGGGAGUGAGGUGCUUGCUCACCUGCACUCUGUCCCACCCCGACACUCGGUGGGGAGCCGAGGGACGAUCGAGGCAAUAACAGGUCUGUGAUGCCCUUCGAUGUUCUGGGCCGCACGCGCGCUACACUGCUCCGUGCACCGGGCACACCCCUGGGUCGACCGACUCGGGUCAUCGGGAAGACGGAGCGUGAUGGGGAUUGAGGAUUGCUAUUCUUCCUCAUGAACGAGGAAUUCCUAGUACACGCAAGUCAGCAUCUUGCAUGGAUUACGUCCCUGCCCUUUGUACACACCGCCCGUCGCUACUACCGAUGGAAUGGAUUAGUGAGCUGAGGGGAUUCGCUCUCUGGCAACAGCGAGCGGAGAACCUCAUCAAACUUGCUCAUUUAGAGGAAGUAAAAGUCGUAACAAGGUCUCCGUAGGUGAACCUGCAGAAGGAUCA